UACAGAGGGUGCGAGCGUUGUCCGGAAUCACUGGGCGUAAAGGGCGCGUAGGCGGCUUGAUAAGCGUGCGGUGAAAGCCCGGGGCUCAACCCCGGGUCGGCCGUGCGAACUGUCGAGCUGGAGCACUGUAGAGGCAGGUGGAAUUCCGGGUGUAGCGGUGGAAUGCGUAGAGAUCCGGAAGAACACCGGUGGCGAAGGCGGCCUGCUGGGCAGUGGCUGACGCUGGAGGCGCGACAGCGUGGGG
rnacentral:rRNA from 1 species